rnacentral:rRNA from 1 species
AGCUUCAGUAGCGUAUAUUAAAGUUGUUGCAGUUAAAAAGCUCGUAGUCGCAUUUCUGGCGAGAGGAUCCGGUCCGACCUUUUGGUGGGUUCUUGGGUCUCUUUCGCCAUCCUUGAGUGGUCCGUUCUGGCAUUAGGUUGUCGGAGCGUCAGCCGCUCAUCGUUUACUGUGAGAAAAUUAGAGUGUUCAAAGCAGGCUUAUGCCGUUGAAUAUAUUAGCAUGGAAUAAUAAGAUAGGACCUCGGUACUAUUUUGUUGGUUUGCGCACCAAGGUAAUGAUGAUCAGGGACAGUUGGGAGUAUUUGUAUUUCGUUGUCAGAGGUGAAAUUCUUAGAUUUAAGAAAGACAAACUACUGCGAAAGCAUUUACCAAGGAUGUUUUCA